GGCGGCAGGCCUAACACAUGCAAGUCGAGCGCCCCGCAAGGGGAGCGGCGGACGGGUGAGUAACGCGUGGGAAUUUUUCCUGGAGUACGGAACAACCGAGGGAAACUUCGGCUAAUACCGUAUGAUGCCGAGAGGCCAAAGAUUUAUCGCUCUGGGGUGAGCCCGCGUCAGAUUAGGUAGUUGGUGGGGUAAUGGCCUACCAAGCCUGCGAUCUGUAGCUGGUCUGAGAGGACGAUCAGCCACACUGGGACUGAGACACGGCCCAGACUCCUACGGGAGGCAGCAGUGGGGAAUCUUGCGCAAUGGGCGAAAGCCUGACGCAGCCAUGCCGCGUGAGUGAAGAAGGUCUUAGGAUUGUAAAGCUCUUUCGCUCGUGACGAUNAUNACGGUGACGAGAGAAGAAGCCCCGGCUAACUUCGUGCCAGCAGCCGCGGUAAUACNAANGGGGCUAGCGUUGUUCGGAAUUACUGGGCGUAAAGCGCGCGUAGGCGGUUUUGCAAGCCAGAAGUGAAAUGCCUGA
rnacentral:rRNA from 1 species